CCUACGGGAGGCAGCAGUGAGGAAUAUUGGUCAAUGGCCGGGAGCCUGAACCAGCCAAGCCGCGUGAAGGAAGAAGGCGCCAUGGGUUGUAAACUUCUUUUAUCGGGGAAUAAAGGUAUCCACGUGUGGCUUUUUGAGUGUACCCGAUGAAAAAGCAUCGGCUAACUCCGUGCCAGCAGCCGCGGUAAUACGGAGGAUGCGAGCGUUAUCCGGAUUUAUUGGGUUUAAAGGGUGCGUAGGCUGUUUUGUAAGUCAGCGGUGAAAGUUUGUGGCUCAACCAUAAGGGUGCCGUUGAAACUGGAAGACUUGAGUGGGCGUGAGGUAGGCGGAAUGCGUGGUGUAGCGGUGAAAUGCAUAGAUAUCACGCAGAACUCCGAUUGCGAAGGCAGCGUAC
rnacentral:rRNA from 1 species